UACGGAAGGCAGCAGUGGGGAAUAUUGCACAAUGGGCGAAAGCCUGAUGCAGCUAUGCCGCGUGUAUGAAGAAGGCCUUAGGGUUGUAAAGUACUUUCAUCGGGGAGGAAAAAACAAAACUAAUAAUUUUAUUUCUUGACGUUACCCGAAAAAGAAGCACCGGCUAACUCCGUGCCAGCAGCCGCGGUAAUACGGAGGGUGCUAGCGUUAAUCAGAAUUACUGGGCGUAAAGAGCACGUAGGUGGUUUUUUAAAGUCAGAUGUGAAAUCCCUGGGCUUUAACCUAGGAACUGCAUUUUGAAACUGAAAUACUAGAGUAUCGUAGAGGGAGGUAGAAUUCUAGGUGUAGCGGUGAAAUGCGUAGAUAUCUGGAGGAUACCUGUGGCGAAAGCGGCCUCCUAAACGAAUACUGACACUGAGGGUGCGAAAGCGUGGGGAGCAAACAGGGAUUAGAUACC
rnacentral:rRNA from 1 species